rnacentral:tRNA from 1 species
CAAGGGUUAGUUUAUUUAAAAUAUUGAUUUUGGGGAUCACUGAUAGAAAUUUUUCUACCCUUGA